rnacentral:tRNA from 2 species
AGAGAGGUGUCCGAGUGGUUGAAGGAGCACGCCUGGAACGCGUGUAAGGUGCAAGUCUUCGAGGGUUCGAAUCCCUUCCUCUCUGCCA